GGCAGCAAUAGUAAUUGGGGAGAUGUUUCACUUGAGGUCAGAGGAGAUUACAAGGCUGAGAAUGUCAACAACUAAGAGUUCUUCCGUGUCACUCACCAUUCUCCAACUGACAGGACACUGAGAAAAUCUUUCCCAAGCACUGCAAUGUGUAUAAAAGAGGACAAGACUAAACAUGAAUGCAGCCGCAGAAGAAGGCACUUGCUUCAGGGGAAAAGAUACAAUUAACUUUCUGGGGACUGGGGUGUGCCUUAAAUCCAUAGUAAACAAUAAAGCCAACUUGAAGUGAAAUAUUUUGAAGACUUAAACACAACAGGAAGAUACUCAAAGAAGUCAACUGUAAACUGACAUUACAAUGAAACUUUCACUGUAUCCCAGGGAGUGCCAGAACAUGUAAC